CCCCAUCUGUGGCACGGGGACACCUAUUCUGACCCCAGGGUGGGCAGCUCCCAUCCCCUCUCUCAUCAGCUCCAUAUCAUUUGCUCAGGUGGCAAGCCUGAAGGCCCCCACACUACUGCAGGGCCCAGCAAGGAGACGACUCUGGCAGCUCCUGCAUCCUCUCCAGGACAAAAUUUCCUUCUCAUCCUGGGCAUUUCAGUUCCUUGUAUCCUGCUUCUGGCUGCACUGGGAUGCCUGCUAAUUAGGAAAGGUCUGUUGGAGGAGUCUGUCCCUGCCUGGGGGACAAUGGGCGAAGGGUUGGCAUGGGGAGGCCAAGUGUCUUUGGCACAUCUGGGCUUGGGCCUUCACCCUCAGAUCUCCAGGAGCUGGGGACUGAACAGCAUCCUGCCACAGGGGAGGCAGGCAAAGCUGCUGUGAGAGCAGCUGAAAUGCUUUGCACAGGGGCAGUGAGGAAAAGCGUUAGCUCUUGCAGAUUCACUCCUGUCCUCUUUUUCAGGGGUUCCCRGCUUCCGGACUAAGAGGGGCCAGAACAAGCAGGGCGACAGUCCAGAGGAUGAAGUUCAAUAUGCCGCCAUCACUGUUGCACGAGUUUCCAAGUCAGCUCGCCCACCAGAAGAUACAGCAUCGACAUAUGCAGCCAUUGCACCGCGGAGGAACCAGCAUCGCUAAGGCAUGGCAAGCUGAUAUCAGGAGCACAGAGGAGAUGGGAUCAUCAGUGGAAGGCCCUGGGUUGUCUGUGGUCCUCUGCCAGGCUCGUGCACCCAGGAAUAUCCUUGCGCAUCUCCCCUGGAGGAGCAUUUCAUCCGCACCCACUCCCUGCUCCACUUUCCUCCUCCUUGUUCUUGCCUCCAUCCACAAGCAAACCGCACAUCCUCUGCUCCGGUGAGAAUUUUCCCCAUCAACGUUUUGCAUAUGUAAAUGAAAUCCUGAGAUGGGCUUAGAAACCCCACUUGUUUUUUUAGAAUAUUUUUUUGCAGCGUAUAGUUGACUUUCUCCCUACUGGUGUAUCAGCUAGAAGCAGUGGGACAUUUAAAUCCAAAACAGAGAUGCUCACACAAUCCUGCGAUAUCAGGCCCAGGCUAGAUGGAGGAAAUCAAGUCUUGAGGACAUACAGCAAAAUUAGAAACCUUGGCAACACUGGGGCUGAUUGCAUCGUGGCACCGCCUUUGACCACCCUGUGAUGCAGCUCUGCAGCUUUGGGAAUGCUGUUUAUUUUAUGUAUCCCUUUUAACAAGUCUUUACAGACAGCAUUGCCCAAUGUUCAUUGAUCCUAGCGGGAGCAUCGACACCCCAUCCCACGUGCAGGCACMAAAACUGAGCACUUUUCUUUUCUGSAGCUGAGCCCCCUCCCCUUGGGACUCUACCUACACAAUGUGWCUCUGGACUGGGGGGGAAACACCAGUUCUGCGGGGUGUUUGGAGGAGCUGCCCACCCUGGGCAACAUGACUGCUGCUAUUGCUUGGUGUGUGCCAAGUCCUUGCAGUCACGGCAGCUCCGGAGGAAUUGUUGGGACUGAUGUUGUUUGUCUCAGUCCAGCURAAAAUUGCAGAGCACUGGGAUUUCGUCCUUGGCAGGCUGGUUUAGUCUCUUGUCCUUGGGAUUCAUCUCUACCCUCUCGCGAGGCAGGGAAACACUGAUCCCAGCCUGCACCUUCCCCUCUCUCUGUUGCUAAACUUUCACUUUGGCCCAGGAAUUUCAUUUCCCUGUUUCUGCGACCACAA
ensembl:lncRNA